AUGACCAUGAAGAAGCGUGAGUUUCGCAACUUACGCCAAGGAGGACGCACUGUUGGACAAUAUGCGGAUGACUUUAGCAAGCUAGCACGUUAUGCCCCAGAUGAUGUUGCUACAGAUGCAACUAAACAGGAGAAGUUUCUGGAAGGACUGAAUGAUGAGCUGAGCAUGCAGUUGAUGGUAGCAACCUUUAAUAACUACCAAGAGUUGGUAGAUAGAGCUCUCAUGAUUGAAGGGAAGCAGCAACAGAUUGACAACCGUAAGAGGAAGUAUGGACACGGGAAGUAUAAUUUUGGAGCUUAG
rnacentral:rRNA from 1 species